rnacentral:rRNA from 1 species
ACGGGGUGCAGCAGGCGCGAAACCUCCGCAAUGCACGCAAGUGUGACGGGGCCAUCCCGAGUGCCUACGGGCUUUUCUUCAGUGUAAGAAGCUGAUGGAAUAAGGGGAGGGCAAGGCUGGUGCCAGCCGCCGCGGUAAAACCAGCUCCUCAAGUGAUUCGGACUUUUACUGGGCCUAAAGCGUUCGUAGCCGGGUCUGCAAGUCUUCGGUAAAAUCCGGCAGCUCAACUGUCGGCCUGCUGGAGAUACUACAGAUCUUGGAGGCGGAAGAGGUAGAGGGUACUCCUUGGGUAGGGGUGAAAUCCGUUAAUCCAAGGGGGACCACCAGUGGCGAAGGCGCUCUACUGGGACGCGCUCGACGGUGAGGGACGAAAGCCAGGGGAGCGAACCGGAUUAGAUACAUUUUUGCAUAUUUAGCAUCAUGCUAAAUACCCGGGUAGUCCUGUGCUGUAAACGAUGCGGGCUAGGUGUUGGCCCAGCCACGAGCUGGGUCAGUGCCGAAGGGAAGCCGAUAAGCCCGCCGCCUGGGGAGUACGGUCGCAAGGCUGAAAUCAGGUCAGAUACGUUACCUGACA